rnacentral:lncRNA from 1 species
AUGGAAUUAAUAAAGCUUUUGGGAAUGACUCCAGACUUUCCCUCCAUCCCUGCAAGCGGAAAACAGGUUGUUGAUCCCAUUUUACAGCUGAGGCUUUCGGGGAUGGAGAGCAGGGAAUAUUCCUCGGGAUUCCAAGGGGCACAAGGGUGGCUCCUUCGCUUUUCCAGUGGUAAAAACCUGGUUCUGUUGGUGAUGCCCAGGCUCGAUCUGAUCCCAAAUCCUCGGGAAGGGAUGCACCAGGACAUUGCUUUGUCCCUGCUCCUACAGGACAUCUGGGAUCAAAACUCCCUUUCCAACAAUUCCCAGUUUUUUGCGGGUGCAGCGGCAUCUCUUGCUGAAAUUGGGACGGGGUUGAGCUGGAGAACUUUUCCAUGGAUUAAGGGGGAGUCAGGUUACUCCCCACUUCCAAAAGAGCAGGAAAUGUUGGGAGGAGCCCAGAUACUUUGGAAAAACACCAUAAAACCUGUCUGGGCCCAUGGCACAUCCAAGGGGAAAAUCCCAGGGAUUGAUUUUUCAUGGGACAGAACCACCGCCCUCGUUUUCCUUGCAUCCAUCCCCAGUGGGGGUGUGGAUGUGGAACACCAGAAUUCCAUGAUUUUGGAGCAGGAUCCAGACCAGUCCAUAGGUGUGGAGGAGGUCACCAGAAUUCCACGGUUGUGGAGUGUGGAUCCAGAUCCAAACCUUCUCCUUUGUUUCCAGGUCCCAUUGUGCGAGGCCAGCUCUCCAGGCAGCUCUCCAGGCACUGCAGCCUUCCAGGAAGCUCCUGGCUCAGCCUUCCCGUUCCCGAGCCUUCAGAACCGGAGCAGAGCCCCAAAAAACCCAUGUCCUCUUCCGAGCCCAUCCUGGACCUCAAGGGAGACACGGCAGAAGCACUUCCAGAGAACCUGGGAGGAGCAGGGGAUCAGAGCUCCUGCCCGCCAAGGGACACUCCAGGGAAUGGACAAUCCAUGGAGCACACGGAACCAACGCCAGCAGCCCUCGAGGACGCUGCGGAGCCGAAGGAGAACCCUGGGACGAGGCAGGACCCGUCCAACCCCGGGAAUUCUCUUGGAACCUCCAGCCCUGCGGAGCCCAUCCCAGCCCCACCAGCUCCCCGCCAUGGCCAGCGGCUCCCGAGGAACCCCCGGCGCGCCCCAACACCCUGGACUUCUCCAAAGGUGGGAAGGAGCUGGAGGAGGCGAGGCAGGCGGGGCAGCGGCGCGGCAGCGACCGGGCCACGGUCAAGGAGAACGGCGUGGAGGCCACUCCGGCCACCAGCACGGCCAGCAGCGAGGAGCGCCGGGCUCUGCAGUCCGAGCUGGGCAAGUGCAUCGAGGAAUUCCGCAGGAUCAAGAUCCCGCAGGCCUUUCCCAACAAGAAGCGGCAGUGGCAGAGCGAGCUGCUGAAGAAGUACCAGCUGUGAGAGCAGAUCCCACUCCCGUCCUGUCGGGAAUGGGGCUCUCCAGGCGGCCGGGUGGCUGCUCCAGCCGUGGCACAGGCUGUCCACGCUCCCGAAAUGAGGAGCAGAGGUGGCUGAUGAAGCCCAGGCAGAUGUUGACAGGGUCACAAGCCUGUUCCCACCGCGGUCAUCGAGGGGAUGCUCAGUGGCGCAGGCACAGCUGAAGGGGGUCGGACAAGGAAGGAUGUCCAGGGUGAUGUUUGGGAGCGGCAGAAAUUCCCACAUUUCUGAGACUGAGUUCCCCUGGUGUUUCAAACAAUAAAAUCGAGUUGGUGUCCA